UACGAAGGAGGCUAGCGUUGCUCGGAAUCACUGGGCGUAAAGCGCACGUAGGCGGAUUGCUAAGUCAGGGGUGAAAUCCUGGAGCUCAACUCCAGAACUGCCCUUGAUACUGGCGGUCUCGAGUCCGGGAGAGGUGAGUGGAACUGCGAGUGUAGAGGUGAAAUUCGUAGAUAUUCGCAAGAACACCAGUGGCGAAGGCGGCUCACUGGCCCGGUACUGACGCUGAGGUGCGAAAGCGUGGGGAGCAAACAGG
rnacentral:rRNA from 1 species